UUAGCAUUUUGAUGGAAAUGUCAAAAAGUGAGUAACAUUAUAUUUAUCAAGUGAGUCAAUUUUCACUCACUUGUCAGAGUUUAAAGGUUUACUCACUUUUGCGUAAUUGUUUUCAAACCGUCAAACAGUUUGAAAAUUUUCCAUUAAAAGAAUUUCAUAUUUUUAUAAAGUUUUUGAGUUUUGUUGUGAAUUUGAUGUGGUGAGCAGAGCGUGGUGGUGGUGAUCUGGCUAGGCAUGGUCCGCAAGGAUUCUUGCAGAAACUGGUAGUUCCGCAGCUCGAUCGAUCUGGAGUUGUUUUGUUGAUUUUUUGACGACGGAGGAUUCAAGGCCGGAUUUGAUUAUAUAUUAUCUCCGAUUAUGGCUUUUAUGUCGCCCAGGAACUAAUGAAACUUGAUGGUGCCCAGGAACUUGACUUUUGCCCAAGUGUCAUGGAUAUAUGCCCUAAAUGUACCGGAUCAUGAUGCAAACCGACACCCGGACCGCCAAGGGCCAGUAUUACAACGGAACCGCAAUGGAGAGUAUCUUCCGGACCAUUUGUGAUGCGUUUCAACUGUCGGUAUUGUCAGGGACCGUGAUUGUAUAUUAAAGAUAUUGAAUGUGGAGUGUGCCUGAAGACGACAGAUAGUCAUGCGGAAGCGGGUAUCCGUCCUAUAGUGCCGGCCGGCAUUUGGGAUAGACAGACGGAUCCAAAAAAGGAUCUCUUAAUUUCAACGUAUAGAAGUGUAGCGACACGGUUCCGAUGUGCACUCUGAAGCAAUAAUUUUCCUCUCACAAGCGGUCCUCUAUGGCAGGAUACGGGUGCAGGGCGUCUACGAAAAUCAAACCAUCCAGGUGGUCUCGGACACUGACACAUCGUAGCACACCCGCAUCAGUCUCCGUGGCAAGGGUCUUAAACAGGUCAAUAACUGGCACCGGCGACGAUUACGUUCAGUUGGAAAUCUAGGUCCAGAUCAAACUGAACAAACAGGUAGCUCUGAUGCAGACAUACGCAGAAUUGGAUGAAGAUACCCGCGGCCAAAGCAUGGGCGUCACUUUCGCGACUGACGAUUUAGUCUCGGUCUCGGGUUUAUAAACCCCCUAUAGUCCCCCUCCGGAUCAGACUCGUCUAGUUCUUCGUCAAACAACCUUAGAAGAAACC